AAGCAUUCUUCGCUUUCAGAAAUCCUGAAUGCACUCAUGUGCAAUGUAGGAAAUCUUGGUCGUAAGCUAACCAUUGACAUGCGACCUUUUGUCUUGAUCCACUGAGGCACAACUGUCAUCGGAAGUCCCUGUUGAACAACAUCGUAUAGUAAUUAAUAUACUAAGCAAUGAAAGUUUAGCUUCAAAAAUAAUGUAUGCAAAAAAUGCACUAAUUAAGGACAAAUAUUUAAAAUCUUACCAUCUUUUGAUUAUAGAUGUGACCGUAGUUCAAUACGAUCACCAUUGGUCGCAUGUUUUGAGUACUAACAUUUCUAAGUUUAGGAAAAAAAUUGUCUUGACAGUAUUAAG
rnacentral:rRNA from 1 species